UACGAAGGGGGCUAGCGUUGUUCGGGAUUACUGGGCGUAAAGCGCACGUAGGCGGAUAUUUAAGUCAGGGGUGAAAUCCCAGAGCUCAACUCUGGAACUGCCUUUGAUACUGGGUAUCUUGAGUAUGGAAGAGGUAAGUGGAAUUCCGAGUGUAGAGGUGAAAUUCGUAGAUAUUCGGAGGAACACCAGUGGCGACGGCGGCUUACUGGUCCAUUACUGACGCUGAGGUGCGAAAGCGUGGGGAGCAAACAGG
rnacentral:rRNA from 1 species